rnacentral:rRNA from 1 species
CAGCCGCCGCGGGAAUACGAAGGGGGCUAGCGUUGCUCGGAAUGACUGGGCGUAAAGGGCGCGUAGGCGGUUUUGACAGUCAGAUGUGAAAUUCCUGGGCUUAACCUGGAGGCUGCAUUUGAGACGUCAAGACUAGAGUGUGAGAGAGGGUUGUGGAAUUCCCGGAGUAGCGGUGAAAUGCGCAGAUACCGGGAGGAACGCCGAUGGCGAAGGCAGCCACCUGGUCCACUUCUGACGCUGAGGCGCGAAAGCGUGGGGAGCAAACCGGAUUAGAUACCCCAGUAGUCCCUGUCUCUUAUAC